UACGAAGGGGGCUAGCGUUGCUCGGAAUCACUGGGCGUAAAGGGCGCGUAGGCGGCCAUUCAAGUCGGGGGUGAAAGCCUGUGGCUCAACCACAGAAUUGCCUUCGAUACUGUUUGGCUUGAGUAUGGCAGAGGUCAGUGGAACUGCGAGUGUAGAGGUGAAAUUCGUAGAUAUUCGCAAGAACACCAGUGGCGAAGGCGGCUCACUGGUCCGGUACUGACGCUGAGGUGCGAAAGCGUGGGGAGCAAACAGG
rnacentral:rRNA from 1 species